rnacentral:piRNA from 1 species
UGAAACUCAGAGGUUCACAACUUGGCUUC